rnacentral:rRNA from 1 species
CCUACGGGGCGCAGCAGUGAGGAAUAUUGGUCAAUGGCCGAGAGGCUGAACCAGCCAAGUCGCGUGAGGGAUGACGGCCCUACGGGUCGUAAACCCCUUUUGUCGGGGAGCAAGACCCGCCUCGUGCAGGCGGAGCGAGAGUACCCGAAGAAAAAGCCCCGGCUAACUACGUGCCAGCAGCCGCGGUAAUACGUAGGGGGCAAGCGUUAUCCGGAUUUACUGGGUGUAAAGGGAGCGUAGACGGCAGCGCAAGUCUGGAGUGAAAUGCCGGGGCGCAACCCCGGAACUG